GUUUAGAUAGCUUAAGUUUAAAGUUUAACAUUGAAAAUGUUACUAUGAUUUUAUAUCUCUAUACA
rnacentral:tRNA from 1 species